rnacentral:rRNA from 1 species
ACGUAGGGGGCAAGCGUUAUCCGGAAUUAUUGGGCGUAAAGAGUGCGUAGGUGGUUUUUUAAGCGUGAGGUGAAAGGCAAUAGCUUAACUAUUGUAAGCCUUGCGAACUGGAAGACUUGAGUGCAGGAGAGGAAAGUGGAAUUCCUAGUGUUGCGGUUAAAUGCGUAGAUAUUAAGAGGAACCCCAGGUGCGAAGGCGGCUUUCUUGACUUGAACUGGCACUGAGGCACGAAAGCGUGGGGAGCAAACAG